UGAGUAGCACGGAUGGUCGCGGCUGCAAAUGCCGAAAGGCUGCAGGUGAGGAAAGUCCGAGCUUCACAGGGCAGGAUUCCGGAUAACGUCCGGUGGAGGUGACUCCCAGGCCAGUGCAACAGAAAUAAACCGCCCGGAGCUUUUCCGGGUAAGGGUGGAAAGGCGAGGUAAGAGCUCACCGCCUGUCUGGUAACAGACAGGGCACAUGUAAACCCAAUCCGAAGCAAGACCGAACAGAAAGCGAUACGGCUGCCCGUCGUGCUUUCGGGUAGGUCGCUUGAUUCUGGUGGCGACAUCAGAACUAGAUAGAUGACCAUCGAUUACAGAACUCGGCUUAUAGUGCUACUCAUUUU
rfam:Acetivibrio ethanolgignens strain ACET-33324 ACET-33324.Scaf34, whole genome shotgun sequence.